AUUUGUUGUUGUGGCCAUGUUUGUCUGAACACCAUUAAUGAUACAUGCUCUCCUUCCUCAGCCUCUCUAAUGUAAUGGACUGGGGUGUGACGGUGAUGUGUGUAUCUCAGCGCUCUGUUGUGGAACAGUGUGUCACGUCUUUGUGUGUGUACAGUAAAUGCGUGUGUGUCUGUGUGUGUGUCUCCUGAGGUUGGUCAGUUCAGUGAGCUGCGAAGUGGAACAUUACCCAACGCAGACAGUGAUUUUCUCACUCACUGAGGACUUCCUCAAGCUUCUCUCAUCCCCUCUAAUCCCUGACAAGAGAUGUCCCCAGGCCUGGCUGCUCUGACAGUGGGCUGUGACUCAGGGGACCUGGGCUCCCUGUCCCGUGUGCAGCUCCUGCUCCUGGACCGGUCGGACCCUGUGGAGCCCCACUGGCUCGCUGGUCAGGACAUGUACUCCCCAACAGAAGACGGAACAACAGGCCACACAGCGGCGCUCCGAGCCAGAAGACCUCUGAGUCCAACGCUGUAUACUACAGGCGUCCUGCAGCCCCUCACAGCUGGCAGCUGUGGAGACGGCAGUGUGUCUGAGAGGUGUGUCGCCACAGGCAAAGUCCAGGGACAGGGUGAGCACACAAUGCAGUCCCACAACGAGGAUGGUUCCAGGUCACCAUCGUCAUGGAUCAGUGAUUCCAGUCCAUCAGGCACCAUAUCCGGGUCCACCAGUUCCCAAUGCGAGUCCUGCUGUGAUGGGGAGGAGUCCGAGGGAAGUGACCAAACCAGCCAGGCCCUUACCUCCUUAAAUGACAGGGGCCCCAGCCCAGACCAGGGGGUUCCAGUGAAGGAGGAGCCUGGUUGCCCUGAUUGGGGGGAGCGAGGCUGGGCUUCCACAGGGGCCAGGAGAAGGCCAGGGAGGCUGGAGCGCAGGAUUAGGGAGAAGGAGCGAAAAAGGGAGGAGAGAAAGACAAAGGUGCUAAACAUCUACUCCAGACUCCAGGACAGCGGGCCCCUCCAGCCCAGCCGCAACAGGGGCCGCUCCAGGUUUGAGGACUUCGACUUCUUGGCAAAGUAUUGCAUUUUCAGCCAGGAGAAGCUGGCAGAAUACAAAAGGGCUUUUGAAGCGGUUGACAGUGAUGCUGAUGGUUACAUUUCCUGCCUGCAAGUGCUGCUGGCACUAAAGAAGAUCAUCCCUCCAGAGCUGCUAACUGAUGAAGAAGAGAUAUAUGUCUACAGGAUCCUGGAGAUGGUGGAUUUCAGGGUGACAGAUGGACUUACAGACCUGAGGCUCUUUGCUGUGAUUGCGAGCCUGGCGCAGAAAAUAGCUACCAUGGAUGUAUUUAUGCGUUCCCUGAUAAGCAAAAUGGACUUCCAUUCUUUGGCAUUAAAGCUAUACAAAGCAAAGCAGCUGUUCAUGUUCCUGCUGGAGGGGCAGUCAGGGGGCGCUGUGGCCCAGCAGGGCUGUAUCAGCGCAGAGCAGCUCCUAGUGGAGCUCAAGGCCGGGGGCAUCCGACCAGAACAAGAGGAAGCCAUCAAACAGGAGCUCCGACACAUCAGCUCCCUGGACCUGCUGGACUUCCUGGCGUACCUGCCCCUCUUCGUCCUAAUCCACAACUCAGUCAUCGCCAACCCACUGGAUGACUCCAGCAACCUGUGAUGUCAUCGGCUACACAGGCUUGACCCUAUCUGUCAUUAGCUACCACACACUGUGGCAACAGGGUUCCAGGGUUCUCUUUCUAAAACGAUAGCCAAUGCACCCAAAGCUGUUUUUGAGAUGUGGUUUUUUCGGGGGGUGGAGGGCACAUUUCAUGUAACAAGGUCGACAUUCUGAGAAAUUUCUUCAAAGGGGCUUUGGAGACACCCUUUGGAAUAUGCAUUGAUAAAUAGCCUACUGAAGGUGGAUGUCUAAGCUUGAGAAUGGUGCUGUCUAUGGUACUGAAAUAUGCAGGGAUUUUCAGUUGCGGUUCAUGCAUCGGUAAUACACUGAAUAGGGACAUAACACGUUUAGACUCCAGUUAGACAAGGGAUACACAAUUGUUGCUCAUGGGGGACCAAAUCCUAAAAUGCAAGAUGCAGGUGCAACUUCAAACUUUUGCACAAAUUAAGCAUUGAUUUAAUGCAUGAUUUAUGCCAAACCUUUGUGCGGGUUUUUAAGAUAGGGGGGGUGAAUAUAAUGGCUCUCCACCGCUUUAGUAACUGAGUAAUGUGGCAUUAUGAAAAUAAAAUAAAUGAAGCAUGACCUAACCUAAAUCUCCUAUGUGUUUUCAAUCAUCUCCCUCAGCUUUAAGUGAGAGGGUCCGGCAAGAAAUUACAAAUUAGAUAUGGCAGUUCUUUAUUUAAUUUCCCUCAGGCUUGACAGAGUCGGGGAGGAAAGCGUUAAUGCACUCUGACAGGCGGUCAUGGAAUUGUUCAGACCAUUCAUUGCUGUUUUCGGGUAGCUGUGUCAUAGAAAUUCUAUAAUGCCUAAUAAGGGUCCUAAAGAUAGCUAUACAUACUGCCUGUUGUUUUUGUGUCUUGUGCCCUUCUUGGUAAGCUCUAGUUUUAUUUCAUCUUUAUUGUAACCCUUUCCUGCAGUCAAAUGAUCAGACCGCCCUCUAGUGCAAUCAUGGGUGGAAUGUUAUUCUUUUUUCAGAAUGAAUCAAAACAAUAUUUUUUUUACAACGAAAACUCUGUGUUUCUAUGUCAAAUGGUUUCGUGUUUCAGUCUUCUGUGAUGUAGAUAAACUAUAAUGUUUGGAUGCAAACUCAAAAUGUAAUACAUUUUCAGUUGCCUAAUUAUAAUUUAAGGCCAUAACCGUGUGUGAGGUGUAUACUUUUGUUUCAAAGUACAGUAGAUUUGUUUGACUACCAAGAAAGACUGUGACCCUGACGUAGCCCACUGUAGUAAAAGGCUAACAGGGAGUUCCAUUGAGGGCAAGGUCUAUUUACCAAGCGAGCCCAGCAUAUACAUCAUUGACUAAAUACAAUAUAAUACAAAUUGGCCUGUACAAAAUUACAAACACACUCAAGAAAUGAUACAGUGACUCGUAUGUCUAAAGGUUAUUAAUGAUGUCCGUGAGGCAGUGAUGUGUACUGAACCUGUCACCAGUAAUAAAAUGAGGUGCUGUGUUAAACUGCAUUUAAAGGUGUUUAUGAAGUGGCUGCUGCAUUCAUAUAGAUGAUGUCACCAUAGUCUAGGAACUGUAGGAACUGUAGGAACUGUAGGAAUGUCAAUAAAAUGAUCUGCGUGCUACUAUUAAGCGAGAGGCAGGACUUGUUUCUACAGAAGAAGCCCAUUUUAUUCUCAGCUUCCUCACUAAAUCAUCUAUAUGCUUUUUAAAAGACAGCCCAUCGUCUAUCCAGAUGCCCAGAUAUUUGCAUGCAGGGACACAAUCGAUGUUCACACAAUCUAAAGUACAUGUGCUCUAGAAAACAUAUACUUUCAUACUAGUUUGAGGUCAAUAAAGGUUUUCUGUAAAUCAAUGAAGGCAGAUUGAUGAUCAGAUAGAGCCUUGUCAACAGAGAGGGGCAGCAGAAUACACAGCAGUAUGCCCACAAGUGAAGGUUACACAUUUGUACAGACAAACCAAUAUUGUUUAUAUACUGUAGUUAGUCAAAUGUACAGGACCCAAAAUCGAACACUGUGGGACACCUUUCGUAAUAUCAAGGAAACCUGACUUAAGGUUUCAGAAAGGUUUCAGAAAAUACACAUUGUGUCCUGUCUAUAAAGAACUUGGUCUCAGCAAUAGAUUUAAAAUCAGUAUUUGUCCACCUAGAGAGUUAGAUAAUGGUGGAUUAUACACAAUGCCCAGGCUUUAUGUGGUACUAUGCUCCACUCAAAUAAAAUGUAGGCCUUGUAGCCAAGCUUUCGAAUAUAUUCUUAUGUGGCUACAUUUUUACCUGAUAAAUCAUUAAUGAAACAUCAGCUAUGCUGUUUAUCUUGGUGUCAAGGAAUUGUAUAUUGUAUUGUGGUAAGAGCAAUAACUGCUGAGCAAUAACCCUUUCAGCUAGAGAUAGUGGUGAAUAAUACCUGGCACUCUUAGACGAUAUUCCCUCUGGCAGCUUGCACGCAACAAAUGGUUAAACUGUUUUUUUCUUCGCAAGGGCAUUUGUUGAGUGCUAGUCGCGCGCUGCUGUAUGAAAGGCACACGCCGUCAGCCAAUUCAAUGCGCGGUCUCCUCUCCACCACUAGACAACCGCAUUCACUCAUUAAACCAGGCACGCGCCUCGAAGCAAACGCGUCCUACCUGUCAAACUCGAUGCUUCUUUGCCUCGGGGAAUAGAAAG
rnacentral:lncRNA from 1 species